UUUUAAGAGGAGACUAGUCGAGGUUUUUGAGUGAAAUAAAAGUAGCCGGGAAAGCAGAGCGUUAAACUGUUCGAAAUAACCGAAUAUAGAAAUGUACGGUGCGUACUUCGGUGGAGGGUUGAGCCGCCUCAAGCUCGCCGUGUUUCAAAAACUCGGCCCUAUCAUCACCAUUAGCUCUAGCUCUAGCUCUAGGGUUUUCUCUUCUUCUUCAACCGCUGCCAUUGAUGCUGCUGCUUGGCCGACCAAGCGAGUGGGCACUCACGACGGCAGCUUCCACUGCGACGAAGCUCUCGGCUGCUUUCUGAUUCGCCUCACCAACAAGUUCUCAGCCGCUCGAAUCGUUCGAACCAGAGAUCCCCACGUUUUGGGCACGCUUGAUGCUGUGCUUGAUGUUGGCGGCGUGUAUGAUCCGAUCAGAGAUCGUUACGAUCAUCACCAGAAAGGUUUUAAGGAGGUUUUUGGCCAUGGAUUCACCACCAAACUCAGUAGCGCUGGCCUUGUUUAUAAGCAUUAUGGAUUGGAGAUAAUUGCAAAGGAGCUUCACCUUGAUGAAGGACACCAAGAUGUAUAUCCACUCUAUCUUGCUGUCUAUAAAAACUUUAUAGAGGCAGUUGAUGCUAUUGACAAUGGCACCAAUCAAUAUGACACAGAUCAGCCUCCAAGAUAUGUGAAUAAUACAAACUUGUCGUCAAGAGUAGGACGAUUGAAUCUGGACUGGGUGGAUCUUGAUCAAUCACUUGAGAGAGAGAAUGAGGCUUUUCAACAUGCAUUGACUCUCACUGGGAGUGAGUUUCUCGAGAGUGUUCAUUUUCAUGCAAAGUCAUGGUUACCAGCUCGAUCAAUUGUUAUGGAGUGUCUUGCAGCAAGGGAAGAUAUUGAUUCCAGUGGAGGAAUUAUGGUGCUGACUAGAUCUUGCCCUUGGAAGCUUCACAUAUUCGAUCUGGAGGAGGGAAUGAAGAUUGAUCCUACCAUCAAAUAUGUUAUUUAUCAGGUACAGGAUGAAAGGAGUGAAAAUUGGCGAGUGCAGGCAGUGGCAAUCUCACCUGAUAAAUUUGAAAGUCGGAAACCUCUACCAUCUCCCUGGAGGGGUUUAACAGAUGGAGAGCUCUCUGAGGCGGCGGGAAUCCCUGGUUGUACCUUUGUCCAUAUGAGCGGUUUCAUAGGUGGUAAUCAAACUUAUAAGGGUGCAUUGGAUAUGGCAAAGACUUCUUUGAUGGCUUAAGUAAGGGAGAAAAACACAAUCUCUUGCUCUUCGAGCUGUAAAAGGCCAAUCAUACAUCAGUAUUCCCCCAAAAGAUCUUUGGCUUCUGAAUGAGUACAUCAAGCGAGUGUUAAUCAUCAUUUUACAAAGGAGGUUUGGUUGCCGCUGCCCGAAUCGUCAAGCCUGAAGGGACGGCACGAAAACUUACUCUCCGGCUCGAAAAUCUAACGGCUUCAUUAGUAGAAUUUAAAAA